rnacentral:tRNA from 1 species
CGGCGUGGAGCAGUGCGGACCUGCUGCCCAGCAGCCAUUACUUUCUGCGAGCGCAAGUCGUCGCGGGCGUACUGACGUUCUACACGCAACGCGGUGGC